CGCUUGGUCACUUCCUGCGAGAUGCUGCGGCCUCGCACACUCAGUCAGUGAAGAGCCAGUGGAGAAAGAGGACAAGUCACUGGGUUCUCCAGAGUGGAACUGUUCUCUUGCCGAAGAUGUGCAGCAGGCUCCGGGAGAGGACGUAAGGGCUCAUGGACUCCAGCUGAAAAUCAUCCUGCCUGCUGUCCACCUGCCCCCCACCUGGGGAGGGUCUCGCAGUGGCUGCCAUGGUGGACCUGGGGCCAGCUAUGUGCGAGUUGGUGCCGCCCCCAGAGUGCCUGGUCUCUGAGCCUCGCUGCAGGACUUGAUAGACCCACUGGGCUUCAUCAGCACCAUCCGACCUGUUACUGAAAACACGGACACCUACAAGAUUGUUGGCAGCAAAGGAGGUGUUGAAAUGGUCACCAAAGAAAAGUAGCGGUCUAAAGUUAAUAUCUGCUUGGAAUAUCUGCCAACUGGGUGUCGCUUGAAUUCUCACUAUGAAAGAAUUCUCUACCCAUAGAGCUGUUCCAGUCUGGUGUCAGUAUUAUGGUGGAGCAGGUCGGAUGUCCAUCGAGACGCCCACGGGAGGUGGUGCUGGUGGCAGCGAGGGAGAGUCCUCCUCUCCAGAAGCACAACCUCUGCCCCCUGGAGCCCUCCAAGGUCCUCCAUGCUGGAGAAGCAGCUGCAUCUCUCCCCUCCUGCGCUGCAGGGCCCAGUGCUGUGAGGGGCCCCAGGCCCUGUUGGGCAGUGCAGAAUUUCUCCAGGGCGAGGAAAGGAAGCACAGCGAGGCGCCCUGGGGUCGGAGAAGAGGAAGAAAAGGGUCCCCAUUGGUGGAGAAAUCCUGCGUGGUGCUGAGGGUGCUGAGGUGGAGCAAUUGGCCGCAUGGUCAGUUCCUGCAAGGUGCUGUGGCCCCGCACCCUCAGUCAGUGAAGAAGCAGCAGAGGAAGAGGACACACUGCUGGGCUC